UGUUCCAAAGGCCAUUCUGCAAUGAUGAAGGGGGAUGAUUGAAAAGAGCUGGACUAAAUUGGUCUAACUAGGACACUUGAAGGCUUGUGAAUCAGUUCACACGAUCAGUGUGAAAAGCGGGUAUGAAGACCCAGAUGCUGGUGUGUACGUGUGCAUAUAAGCCCCAACAGCUAGAAAUCAAGCCUUUCUGGCUUCCGAUUGUUGGAGAAGUGGAAACAGUUAAUGGAGUAUGCAAUGAGUUCUGGCGGUCAGAAGUCCAAAAUGGGUCUUACACGACUAAAAUCCAGAUGUCGACAGGGAGGAAGAACUGAGGAUCCUACAUCAUGUUAGGGAGCAGCAAGAGCACUGUAGUAAGACAUAACCCUCCUUUGCCUCUCUAUGUCCUCUGCCCCAUGCUGCUUAUGUCCUUAUUGAAGUUAAGAGUCCGGCUGUCAUUGAGAACCUCUGAUACUGCACCAUUUGAUGAAGGGCUAUGAAAAAUUCCCCCGAGAACAGCAAUGCACACUGAUCCUACCAGCUCAUUCACUAGAAUACACCUGUCCCACUGGCCACACAAAUUACUGACAUGGAUCAUAAGUCAGAUUCUGCCAGAAACGGAGUAGAAAAACUGUGGCUCACCCGGGACCCAGUCUUUCCCCAGGUUCCCCACAGAUGAGCUCUGAAUCUGUUAUAAUUGACUCACCACGACCUGCAUGUACACAUGGAAUUCCUCAUGGCAUCCUUAGAUCUUUUUUGCCACAUCCUUUUGCUCUGACUCGAAGAGGAAGCCAACCCAUCUCUUCGCUGGCCUGUGCCACAGAUGCAUUCCAUGUCAAUACCAUCUGUGAUCCCGACGGAAAUGAUAGUUAAAAUUUGUUGCAUCUGUUAUUGAGCCUAUCUUUGUAGUAGGAGUAAUGAAAUUUGGCUUCCAAACUAAUUCAUCUUUAUGCAGAUAGCCCAAACUAACCUGCAAUUAAAACACUGAAAGUAGUCACAACUGGGAGAUACAAAAUAAAUGUGGGAAAAAGUUCUUUUUCAAUAAAGAAGCUUGAUUAGUUUGAGAAACAUCAACUCCAAGGACUAUAAUCUAAGCUGGUAGAAAUUAAAAUUAUGGGAAAAUAGAAUUUUGCCGAUAGACUUGAAACUGUGAAAAUAAGUAGUGUUUGAUAACCUGAAAUAAACUCUUUCUAAAGCACUAUUUUUAUAGUGGAACCAGGGGCAGCUAUUAUUUUGUUAUUAUUUUAAUUGUUUGUGAACAUAUGGGAUAAAGAAAAGGAGCAUGAAUGUGAUUGCAGCUACAGUAUAUCUAGAAGAGUCAAUUAAAUUUAUGUUCUAA
rnacentral:lncRNA from 1 species